GUCUGGAGCUGGCAUGUCAGUUAACUGCUAGUAGUCUGUUGUUAUUUAUGUAUUAUUGUCAUUUUGUUUAUUUUCUUUGGUUACAUCUUCUGACAUCAGACUCGGACUUCUCUUGAAAUGAAUUUUAAUGUGCGUAUUGUUAUGCGUUUACUUUUCUACAUUGGCUAGAGGUAUAGGGGGAGGGUUGAGAUCUCACAAACAUGUUUAACCCCGCCGCAUUUUUGCGCCUGUCCCAAGUCAGGAGCCUCUGGCCUUUGUUAGUCUUGUAUUAUUUUAAUUUUAGUUUCUUGUGUACAAUUUGGAAAUUAGUAUGGCGUUCAUUAUCACUGAACUAGUAUAUAUUUGUUUAGGGGCCAGCUGAAGGAUGCCUCCGGGUGCGGGAAUUUCUCGCUACAUUGAAGACCUGUUGGUGACCCUCUGCUGUUGUUUUUUAUUUGGUCGGGUUGUUGUCUCUUUGACACAUUUCC
rnacentral:lncRNA from 1 species